UACGGGGGGGGCAAGCGUUGUUCGGAAUUACUGGGCGUAAAGGGCGCGUAGGCGGCCUGCUAAGUCGGAUGUGAAAUCCCUCGGCUCAACCGAGGAACUGCAUCCGAUACUGGCGGGCUUGAAUCCGGGAGAGGGAUGUGGAAUUCCAGGUGUAGCGGUGAAAUGCGUAGAUAUCAGGAGGAACACCUGUGGCGAAAGCGGCUCACUGGACCACAACUGACGCUGAGGCGCGAAAGCUAGGGGAGCAAACAGG
rnacentral:rRNA from 1 species